CUCAAAAUCCUGCCAGAAGCUUUCACCUGCACGUAGUAACGUCAGGCCACAGUUGCUGUUGCAAAUCAGCCUGACCCUCCGAUAACAAACAGUGCCAGGCCUACAUGUACAUGGGUUCAGUGCAGGGCCAGCUAUGGCUACAUCUUCAAAUACCCACCUCCCACAAGAUGAUGGUCUGUGGAUGUUUCUUCAGAGCCGAGGGAUUCCUGAGGAAUAUAUACAGAAAAUGCAGCAAGAUCAUAUUGACAGCUCGGUAGUUGGAGAAAUAGAUGAUGCCACUAUGACUGCUUACAUUCCAGCAUAUGGUGAUAGGAUUGCUACAAGGCGUUUAUGUAUGGAAAAACAGAGAAAAGGUGGUGAUGAUCUAAAAAGACUGUCCUUAUUUGAAAAACUUAGAAGAAAGAUGGGCACAUUGACAAGCAAUAAAGACACAGAUCAAGAUUUUGAGGAGGAGCAUUCUAUGCAGCCAACAAAGAUACAUCUGAGAAAUAACAAAAGGGCCAUGAAGAUGACAAGGAAAAUAGAACUAGGAUGGAUACACAACAAGAAACAAGUGAGAAAACGCAAUGGUGGAGGAACCAGAGUUCUUGAUAUUUCCAAGAAAGCCACAAAAACAGAGAUUCUAUCACAAGCUAAAAAGCUAUUUUCCCCCAAUGAGAAAUCGAGAAAGGGAAAGUGGGAAGAGUUCAGUCACAGCAUUG